rnacentral:tRNA from 1 species
UCCCUGAUAGCUUAGUUGGUGAAGAAUCCGCCUGCAAUGCAGGAGACCCUGGUUCAAUUCCUGGUAGGGAA